UACAGAGGUCCCGAGCGUUGCUCGGAUUCACUGGGCGUAAAGGGUGCGCAGGUGGGUUGGCAAGUUUGAUGUGAAAGCCCCGGGCUUAACCCGGGAAUGGCAUUGAAUACUGCUGAUCUGGAGGAUUGGAGGGGGGACUGGAAUUCUUGGUGUAGCAGUGAAAUGCGUAGAUAUCAAGAGGAACACCAGUGGCGAAGGCGAGUCCCUGGACAAUUCCUGACACUGAGGCACGAAAGCCAAGGGAGCAAACAGG
rnacentral:rRNA from 1 species